rnacentral:rRNA from 1 species
GUCCGCAACGAGCGCAACCCUCGACCUUAGUUGCCAGCAUUCAGUUGGGCACUCUAAGGUGACUGCCGGCUAAAAGUCGGAGGAAGGUGGGGAGUGACGUCAAAUCAUCAUGCCCUUAUGACCUGGGCUACACACGUGCUACAAUGGGCGGUACAAAGGGUCGCGAACCCGCGAGGGGGAGCCAAUCCCAAAAAGCCGCUCUCAGUUCGGAUUGCAGGCUGCAACUCGCCUGCAUGAAGCCGGAAUCGCUAGUAAUCGCGGAUCAGCAUGCCGCGGUGAAUACGUUCCCGGGCCUU